rnacentral:misc_RNA from 1 species
GAUGAAGAACGUAGCGAAAUGCGAUAAGUAGUGUGAAUUGCAGAAUUCAGUGAAUCAUCGAAUCUUUGAACGCACAUUGCGCCCCACGGUAUUCCGUGGGGCAUGCCUGUUCGAGCGUCAUUUACCCCCUCAAGCUCCGCUUGGUGUUGGGCGUCUGUCCCGCUUCGCGCGCGGACUCGCCCCAAAGGUAUUGGCAGCGGUCGUGCCAGCUUCUCGCGCAGCACAUUGCGCUUCUCGAGGCACCGGUGGGCCCGCGUCCAUCAAGCUCACCCCCCCAGUUUGACCUCGGAUCAGGUAGGGAUACCCGCUGAACUUAAGCAUAUCAAUAAGCGGAGGA